UGGUGGAGUGAUUUGUCUGGUUGAUUCCGUUAACGAACGAGAUCUUGGCCGUUCAAUGACAGUUCGAUCGCUAUGUAGUCCGAUACUCUCGCGCUUGCGUGUUGCAGUCAUUGGAUGAGAUCCUUCCUUGUACUCAACGGGACUAUACGUGUUGACAACGUAUGGAAGUGCGAGCCAAUAGCA
rnacentral:rRNA from 1 species